rnacentral:rRNA from 1 species
ACGUACACUCCUACGGGAGGCAGCAGUGGGGAAUUUUGGACAAUGGGCGAAAGCCUGAUCCAGCCAUGCCGCGUGCAGGAUGAAGGCCUUCGGGUUGUAAACUGCUUUUGUACGGAACGAAACGGCCUUUUCUAAUAAAGAGGGCUAAUGACGGUACCGUAAGAAUAAGCACCGGCUAACUACGUGCCAGCAGCCGCGGUAAUACGUAGGGUGCAAGCGUUAAUCGGAAUUACUGGGCGUAAAGCGUGCGCAGGCGGUUAUGUAAGACAGUUGUGAAAUCCCCGGGCUCAACCUGGGAACUGCAUCUGUGACUGCAUAGCUAGAGUACGGUAGAGGGGGAUGGAAUUCCGCGUGUAGUAGUGAAAUGCGUAGAUAUGCGGAGGAACACCGAUGGCGAAGGCAAUCCCCUGGACCUGUACUGACGCUCAUGCACGAAAGCGUGGGGAGCAAACAGGAUUAGAUACCCGUGUAGUCCCCAU